rnacentral:tRNA from 1 species
GCCCCCAUAGUUUAAUGGAUAAAAUGACUCCCUUCUAAGGAGUAGAUCUAGGUUCGAUUCCUGGUGGGGGUACCA